rnacentral:rRNA from 1 species
GACGAACGCUGGCGGCGUGCUUAACACAUGCAAGUCGAACGGAAAGGCCCUGCUUUUGUGGGGUGCUCGAGUGGCGAACGGGUGAGUAACACGUGAGUAACCUGCCCUUGACUUUGGGAUAACUUCAGGAAACUGGGGCUAAUACCGGAUAGGAGCUCCUGCUGCAUGGUGGGGGUUGGAAAGUUUCGGCGGUUGGGGAUGGACUCGCGGCUUAUCAGCUUGUUGGUGGGGUAGUGGCUUACCAAGGCUUUGACGGGUAGCCGGCCUGAGAGGGUGACCGGCCACAUUGGGACUGAGAGACGGCCCAGACUCCUACGGGAGGCAGCAGUGGGGAAUAUUGCAGAAUGAGCGGAAGCCUGAUGCAGCAACGCCGCGUGCGGGAUGACGGCCUUCGGGUUGUAAACCGCUUUCGCCUGUGACGAGGCGUGAGUGACGGUAAUGGGUAAAGAAGCACCGGCUAACUACGUG